rnacentral:rRNA from 1 species
AGAGCGAACGCUGGCGGCAGGCCUAACACAUGCAAGUCGAGCGCCCGUAGCAAUACGGGAGCGGCAGACGGGAUAGUAACACGUGGGAACGCGCCCUUCGGUUCGGAAUAACUCAGGGAAACUUGAGCUAAUACCGGAUACGCCCUUACGGGGAAAGAUUUAUUGCCGAAGGAACGGCCCGCGUCCGAUUAGCUAGUUGGUGAGGUAAUGGCUCACCAAGGCGACGAUCGGUAGCUGGUCUGAGAGGAUGACCAGCAUCACUGGGACUGAGACACGGCCCAGACUCCUACGGGAGGCAGCAGUGGGGAAUAUUGGACAAUGGGCGCAAGCCUGAUCCAGCCAUGCCGCGUGGAUGAUGAAGGCCUUAGGGUUGUAAAGUCCUUUUAACGGGGAAGAUAAUGACGGUACCGUAGAAUAAGCCCGGCUAACGUUCGCGCCAGCAGCCGC